ACUAAAAAUAUCUCUGGAUAUAAAAAGGUGUAGCAUGAAUUUAGUUUGCCUCAGACGUAAAUUUUUGUUAAAUCGACCCUGCGCACAUAAAGGUACGUUUACACUGAGGCACAUGCAUAAGAACUUGUGUGAGUUGACAAGUCAAUACACAAAUCUUGAAACAUCACCUCAUACAAUAGCUCAUUCAUUUUAUAUGAGGUGGACUAUUUCCUCAUACAUUUUGAGUGAGCCAAAAAACGCUCGCGCAUUUGACUUGAGUGAGGUUAAUUUAUUGUUUUGAUCAGCUGAUUGUAAAACUAUGA
rnacentral:lncRNA from 1 species